rnacentral:rRNA from 1 species
UAGUCGGAGGUGUGUCUCGGACGGUCGGUUCGCCGCUUGUCGGUGCUUAACUGGCCGGUCUGGACGUCCUGCCGGUGGGGCUGUAAAAGGCUCCGUUAUCCUUCUUUGGUCCUCUUCAUUGAGUGCCUUGGUGGGCCGGCACGUUUACUUUGAACAAAUUAGAGUGCUCAAAGCAGGCCGGUCGCUGCCUGAAUACUGUGUGCAUGGAAUAAUGGAAUAAGACCUCGGUUCCAUUUUGUUGGUUUUCAGAACUCGAGGUAAUGAUUAAUAGGGACGGACGGGGGCAUUCGUAUUGCGACGUUAGAGGUGAAAUUCUUGGAUCGUCGCAAGACGAACCGAUGCGAAAGCAUUUGCCAAGAACGUUUUCGUUGAUCAAGAACGAAAGUUAGAGGUUCGAAGGCGAUCAGAUACCGCCCUAGUUCUAACCAUAAACGAUGCCAGCUAGCCAUCCGCCGAAGUUCCUUAUAUGACUCGGCGGGCAGCUUCCGGGAAACCAAAGCUCUUGGGUUCCGGGGGAAGUAU